GACGAACGCUGGCGGCGUGCUUAACACAUGCAAGUCGAACGGAAAGGCCUCUUUCGGGGGGUACUCGAGUGGCGAACGGGUGAGUAACACGUGAGUAACCUGCCCUUGACUUUGGGAUAACUUCAGGAAACUGGGGCUAAUACCGGAUAGGAGCUCCUGCUGCCUGGUGGGGGUUGGAAAGUUUCGGCGGUUGGGGAUGGACUCGCGGCUUAUCAGCUUGUUGGUGGGGUAGUGGAUUACCAAGGCUUUGUCGGGUAGCCGGCCUGAGAGGGUGACCGGCGACAUAGGGACUGAGAUACGGCCCAGGCUCCUACGGGGGAAGGUAGUGGCGAAUAUUGCACAAUGGGUGAAAGCCGGAUGGAGCAACGCCGUGUGCGGGAUGACGGCCUUCGGGUUGUAAUCCGGUUUCGCUCAUGACGAAGCUUUGUGUGACGGUAGUGGGUAAAGAAGCACCGGCUAACUACGUG
rnacentral:rRNA from 1 species